rnacentral:rRNA from 1 species
AAAAGGUGGCUAUACUACCGCUUUUGGAUGGGCCCGCGGCGCAUUAGCUAGUUGGUAGGGUAAAGGCUUACCAAGGCAAUGAUGCGUAGCCGAACUGAGAGGUUGAUCGGCCACAUUGGGACUGAGACACGGCCCAAACUCCUACGGGAGGCAGCAGUAGGGAAUCUUCCACAAUGGGCGAAAGCCUGAUGGAGCAACGCCGCGUGGGUGAAGAAGGUCUUCGGAUCGUAAAACCCUGUUGUUAGAGAAGAAAGUGCGUGAGAGUAACUGCUCACGUUUCGACGGUAUCUAACCAGAAAGCCACGGCUAACUACGUGCCAGCAGCCGCGGUAAUACGUAGGUGGCAAGCGUUAUCCGGAUUUAUUGGGCGUAAAGGGAACGCAGGCGGUCUUUUAAGUCUGAUGUGAAAGCCUUCGGCUUAACCGGAGUAGUGCAUUGGAAACUGGGAGACUUGAGUGCAGAAGAGGAGAGUGGAACUCCAUGUGUAGCGGUGAAAUGCGUAGAUAUAUGGAAGAACACCAGUGGCGAAAGCGGCUCUCUGGUCUGUAACUGACGCUGAGGUUCGAAAGCGUGGGUAGCAAACAGGAUUAGAUACCCUGGUAGUCCACGCCGUAAACGAUGAAUGCUAAGUGUUGGAGGGUUUCCGCCCUUCA